rnacentral:snoRNA from 1 species
UAGUAUGUUACUAGGGAAGUUUCUCUGAUCAUGUAGAGUACCAGAAACCACGAGGAGGAGUUUAGUGUUCUCUCCUGAGUGUGAAGCUGGCUCUAGGUGUUACAUUACUGAAACUGCCUUUUGCCAUUGGUGAUUAUUCUUAAUUCUCUUUAGAGAUUAAGAGGGAGAGAAUACUGUCUGGGUGGU